UCCUACGGGGGGCAGCAGUUGGGAAUCUUGCGCAAUGGGGGAAACCCUGACGCAGCGACGCCGCGUGGAGGAUGACGCCUUUCGGGGUGUAAACUCCUUUUCUUGGGGACGACUCUCGACGGUACCCAAGGAAUAAGCCCCGGCUAACUCCGUGCCAGCAGCCGCGGUAAGACGGAGGGGGCGAGCGUUGUCCGGAAUUACUGGGCGUAAAGGGCGCGUAGGCGGUGGCGUACGGCGGUGGUGAAAGCUCUCGGCUCAACCGAGAGAGGCCCAUCGCGACGGCGCGACUGGAGGCGGAUAGAGGCAGACGGAAUUCCUGGUGUAGCGGUGAAAUGCGUAGAGAUCAGGAGGAACACCCGUGGCGAAGGCGGUCUGCUGGGUCUGGCCUGACGCUGAGGCGCGAAGGCGAGGGGAGCGAACGGGAUUAGAAACCCCUGUGUCCU
rnacentral:rRNA from 1 species